rnacentral:misc_RNA from 1 species
GCAUAAUGUUAUAGAAGCUAUUUUAUUAACAGGAUUUUCAGAAUGCACAAUAGCUCUUUGGUUUCUAUAGUGCAGAGUCAGUGAGUUUCAAGCCUCAGGAGCCAAACGCACCAGCUUGAUAAUUUGUUGCUUCCACAAGCCACUUAAUUUGUGCAUUGAUUGAGGUUGCCCCAACACUAUCCUUGGUUGAGCCAUCUUGGCAAGGUUUUUGUUUCCAUAUAGGAGAUAUUAGAGUUGUUUGCAUGUUGGAGAAAGCUUGUCACUUUGGCAUUGUGGUGUUGGGUUAUUUUCUAGCGUUUGGUCAUUUUACUCAUCGAAACAUUUACAAAGAAAAGAGUUUGGCCAGUUUGCAAAUGGCAAAUGCAAUGAACAGAUGUUGCAAGCUUAACUUAAUUGUGCACCAAUUUUUGCAGGUUAUGCAGAAGCACCAAAAGUA